GACGAACGCUGGCGGCGUGCUUAACACAUGCAAGUCGAACGGAAAGGCCCUGCUUUUGUGGGGUGCUCGAGUGGCGAACGGGUGAGUAACACGUGAGUAACCUGCCCUUGACUUUGGGAUAACUUCAGGAAACUGGGGCUAAUACCGGAUAGGAGCUCCUGCUGCAUGGUGGGGGUUGGAAAGUUUCGGCGGUUGGGGAUGGACUCGCGGCUUAUCAGCUUGUUGGUGGGGUAGUGGCUUACCAAGGCUUUGACGGGUAGCCGGCCUGAGAGGGUGACCGGCCACCUUGGGACUGAGAUACGGCCCCGACUCCUUCGGGAGGCAGCAGUGGGGAAUAUUGCACAAUGGGCGGAAGCCUGAUGCAGCAACGCCGCGUGCGGGAUGACGGCCUUCGGGUUGUAAACCGCUUUCGCCUGUGACGAAGCGUGAGUGACGGUAAUGGGUAAAGAAGCACCGGCUAACUACGUG
rnacentral:rRNA from 1 species